AGGACCCGAUUUUGUGGAUUAGGAGCCGGGAAAUGAACCAACUUUUUUAGCUUUUUAUUGACAUUCUUUUAGGUAACCACUUGGCGGUUGUUCGGUGUCGGUUAGACUAGCUUCCAGCUGAAAUUUCGACAAACGUAAGUUCACAGAUGAUGUGAACUAAUCAUAGAGAUCUCUAUGCAACUAAUGUUUACAAAUGUACGCGGCAAAGAGUGAAAUAAAAAAUGUUAUCUAUGUGAAGAGAAUAUCUAUGAUACCAGAUAGAUAAGAUUUUAGUUACACAGAUUUAGAUGUUCUGUUGUGGAGUUUGGACAAAUUAAUCAGUAUUCUAUAUAAUUGCAUGAUAUGAAGCAAUACAACAUUGGCACAAAAUAAAUUGUAUUCAUCAUUAGAAAAAAGGUAGAAAACUUCUCAGAUCUAAUAAUCAACAGAUGCUGAUCUUGCCUAGAAUCAAAUAACUUGGAAUUAAGAGAAAUCGACCCAAUCAGCCCAAUAAAAGCAUCAAACUUCAGUCAAGCAGUGUGAAUUGAGAGGUAUUUUAUUAUUCAUAUCAAAAGGGAAAUCAUAUAUAAAAAUAUAUAUACAAUCUUCUAUCAAGUUUAUAAUCUGAUCUGCUGCAUGAAAUGGAAGGAAAACCAUAUAUAAAAAAUGUGUUCAUGAAUAAAAGUGUAUGUUAUCGUCAAUCAAAUUUACAAUCUGAUCUGCUGGAUGGCAUGGAUGAAAAACCACAUGUUUGUGGUGUGUGCAAUAAAGCAUUUAGUCUGACUAGGAAUUUAAAGCUUCAUCAACGCACUCAUGCUUCGGAUAAGCCAUAUGUUUGCGAUAUAUGCCAUAGAGCAUUUUCUCUGCCAGUGUAUUUAAAGAAACAUAUUAAGACGCAUACAAAAGAGAAAAAUAAAAGGAAGCAGUAUAUUUGUGGUCUAUGUGGUAAAGCAAUGUCCUGGAAGCAAAAUUUGAAAGUACAUGUCCUAACGCAUACUAAAGAGAAACCAUUUGCCUGUAACAUGUGUAAUAAAAGUUUUUCUCAGCUAGCUCAUUUUAACAGACAUUACUUGACCCAUACGAAAGAGAAACCUUAUGCCUGUGACAUGUGUAGUAAACAUUUUGCUCGACAAGACCAUUUAAAUAGACAUUUGUUGACUCAUGAGAAAAAGAACAUUUUGUGAAGCCUUAAAAUUGCUACUCUGUGAAUUUCAUAAUAGUUUUUUCUGCUAUAAAAGAUUUAAAGACAUUUUUAAGGAUUCAUAUAAUUUAUUCAAUGUUAUAUAUGAAUUAACAUUUUUUUUUUAAAUUCAUGCAAAACAUUGAAUGUUGUACAUAAAUUUGAAGGGGAAAAAAAUUACAAACUGAAAAAGAAGUAUUUUAUAUUAAAAACAGUUAAAAUGAUUUAAUUUCAUAAAUUACAAUAUUUCAUAAUAAAUUAUGU